rnacentral:rRNA from 1 species
GACGAACGCUGGCGGCGUGCUUAACACAUGCAAGUCGAACGGAAAGGCCCUGCUUUUGUGGGGUGCUCGAGUGGCGAACGGGUGAGUAACACGUGAGUAACCUGCCCUUGACUUUGGGAUAACUUCAGGAAACUGGGGCUAAUACCGGAUAGGAGCUCCUGCUGCAUGGUGGGGGUUGGAAAGUUUCGGCGGUUGGGGAUGGACUCGCGGCUUAUCAGCUUGUUGGUGGGGUAGUGGCUUACCAAGGCUUUGACGGGUAGCCGGCCUGGGAGGGUGACCGGGCACAAUGGGAAUGAGAUACGGCCCAGAAUCCUACGGGAGGCAGCAGGGGGGAAUAUUGCACAAUGGGCGGAAGCCUGAUGCAGCAACGCCGCGUGCGGGAUGACGGCCUUCGGGUUGUAAACCGCUUUCGCCUGUGACGAAGCGUGAGUGACGGUAAUGGGUAAAGAAGCACCGGCUAACUACGUG